rnacentral:rRNA from 1 species
GACGAACGCUGGCGGCGUGCCUAAUACAUGCAAGUCGAGCGAAGUUUUUCUGGUGCUUGCACUAUAAAAACUUAGCGGCGAACGGGUGAGUAACACGUAAAGAACCUGCCUCAUACACUGGGACAACUAUUGGAAACGAUAGCUAAUACCGGAUAACAGUAUUUCUCGCAUGACAGAUAUUUAAAAGUUGGUUAUGCUAACACUAUGAGAUGGCUUUGCGGUGCAUUAGCUAGUUGGUGGGGUAAAGGCCCACCAAGGCGACAAUGCAUAGCCAACCUGAGAGGGUGAUCGGCCACUCUGGGACUGACACACGGCCCACACUCCUACGGGAGGCAGCAGUAGGGAAUCUUCCGCAAUGGGCGAAAGCCUGACGAAACAACGCCGCGUGAGUGAAGAAGGAUUUCGAUUCGUAAAGCUCUGUUGUUAGGGAAGAAUGGAUAUGUAGUAACUAUACAUAUCAUAGACGGUACCUAACCAGAAAGCCACGGUUAACUACGUGCCACCAGCCGCGGUAUAUACUUAGGUGGCAAGCGUUGUCCGGAAUUAUUGGGCGUAAAGCGCGCGCAGGUGGUUUAAUAAGUCUGAUGUGAAAGCCCACGGCUCAACCGUGGAGGGUCAUUGGAAACUGUUAAACUUGAGUGCAGGAGAGAAAAGUGGAAUUCCUAGUGUAGCGGUGAAAUGCGUAGAGAUUAGGAGGAACACCAGUGGCGAAGGCGGCUUUUUGGCCUGUAACUGACACUGAGGCGCGAAAGCGUGGGGAGCAAACAGGAUUAGAUACCCUGGUAGUCCACGCCGUAAACGAUGAGUGCUAAGUGUUGGUCUCAUAAGAGAUCAGUGCUGCAGCUAACGCAUUAAGCACUCCGCCUGGGGAGUACGACCGCAAGGCUGAAACUCAAAGGAAUUGACGGGGACCCGCACAAGCGGUGGAGCAUGUGGUUUAAUUCUAAGCAACGCGAAGAGCCUUACCAAGUCUUGACAUACUGUGAGGACAGAAGAGAUUUUGUUGUUCUGACCUAUGGUUAGACACAGAUACGGGUGGUGCAUGGUUGUCCUCAGCUCGUGUCGUGAGAUGUUGGGUUAAGUCCCGCAACGAGCGCAACCCUUAUAUCUAGUUGCCAGCAGUAAGAUGGGGACUCUAGAUAGACUGCCAGUGAUAAACUGGAGGAAGGUGGGGAUGACGUCAAAUCAUCGUGCCCCUUAUGACUUGGGCUACACACGUGCUACUGUGGAUAGGAACAAAGAGAAGCGAGCUCGCGAGAGUCAGCCAACCUCAUAAAACUAUUCUCAGUUCGGAUUGUAGUCUGCAACUCGACUACAUGAAGCUGGAAUCGCUAGUAAUCGCGAAUCAGAAUGUCGCGGUGAAUACGUUCCCGGGUCU